CCACUGCCGGUCAGAGUGUAGAUCGAUUCACCCAAGUUGGAAAACUGUUUGGUAUGACCCAUGAAUACUGACUAUACAGCUCUCCUGUGAUCCUGCAGCUCCACCGCCAGUGGAAUACCACGCAGCAAUGGGAAGCAACAAACUGCUGAAUGACUGGACUCGAGGGACAAUGCUGAGCAAAAACCAAACAGUGACGAGUACACACUGUGUAGUUCUGUUUCGAUGAAGUGCCCAAGCAGGCAGACUGCAUGGAGCAAGUCAGGACACAGGCUGGCCGAGGAGGGCUUGCACGGGGGCAGGGGGGAGUGGCGAGCACUGGGGAGGCUCCUGGGAGCUGACCAAGGGGGUGGUUUUUUUUAACUUGAGGUGAAAUUCACAUAGCAUAAAUUUAUUUCUUGAUUUA